AUUGAACGCUGGCGGCAGGCCUAACACAUGCAAGUCGAGCGGAGCGGCGGACGGGUGGGUAAUGCCUAGGAAUCUGCCAGGUAGUGGGUGAUCACUUCCUGAAACGGGCACUAAUACCGCAUACUAGCAGAUGAGCCUAGGUCGGAUUAGCUAGUUGGUGGGGUAAAGGCCUACCAAGGCGACGAUCCGUAUCUGGUCUGAGAGACUGAUCAGUCACACUGGAACUGAGACACGGCCCAGACUCCUACGGGAGGCAGCAGUAGGGAAUAUUGGACAAUGGGCGAAAGUCUGAUACAGCCAUGCCGCGUGUAUGAAGAAGGUUUUCGGGUUGUAAAGUACUUUCAGUCGGGAGGCGGUAACGAAAGAGGAAGCACCGGCUAACUCCGUGCCAGCAGCCGCGGUAAUAC
rnacentral:rRNA from 1 species